rnacentral:rRNA from 1 species
CGUGUAGGCGGCUCCGCAAGUCAGAUGUGAAAUUCCCGGGCUUAACCCGGGCGCUGCAUCUGAAACUGCGGAACUUGAGUACUGGAGAGGAUAGUGGAAUUCCUAGUGUAGCGGUAAAAUGCGUAGAUAUUAGGAGGAACACCAGUGGCGAAGGCGGCUAUCUGGACAGUAACUGACGCUGAGGCGCGAAAGCGUGGGGAGCAAACA